UUUCCGUAGGUGAACCUGCGGAAGGAUCAUUAAUGAGUUGUCAUGGGGUUCGAUGCUGGCAGCCAGUUUUUGGAUGCAUGUGCUUGCCCUAACAAUCAUCUUCUUCCAAACACCUGUGCACAUUUUUGAGGGAGUCUUGAGUUGGUUGCCGCUCUUGGGUGAUUUUCUCACAUUCCCUUAAAUCAUUAUACGCCAUUAACAAUGUUGAACGUGCUCUGUGCCGCAAGGCCAUUAAUAUAAUACAACUUUUAACAACGGAUCUCUUGGCUCUC
rnacentral:misc_RNA from 1 species